rfam:Serinicoccus chungangensis strain CD08_5 CD08_5_contig_2_consensus, whole genome shotgun sequence.
CCGGUUCACGACCGCGCCCCCGCGUGGUCGACCCGG